CUUUUAAAGGGGUCCUCUGCACCUGCGUGCAGACUUCUUUCCCAUGGAACCUUGGGCUGACCAGGGUAUUGCCUGAGUGGAUUCCACCAGGUAACAGGGGCAGGCCAGCAUAAUGCCUGAACCUGGGCGCCAAAAUGUUAUUGUUUUGUUUAAAAAGAAGAAAAGAGAAAUUGCUGAGACAUGAGACAUAAGACUAUAAGUUUAUUAUAAGGCCCGACAGAAUGGGGAGACUAAGAAGAGGAACAGGG
rnacentral:lncRNA from 1 species